rnacentral:rRNA from 1 species
UGCAAGUCGAGCGGUAGAGAGGUGCUUGCACCUCUUGAGAGCGGCGGACGGGUGAGUAAUGCCUAGGAAUCUGCCUGGUAGUGGGGGAUAACGCUCGGAAACGGACGCUAAUACCGCAUACGUCCUACGGGAGAAAGCAGGGGACCUUCGGGCCUUGCGCUAUCAGAUGAGCCUAGGUCGGAUUAGCUAGUUGGUGAGGUAAUGGCUCACCAAGGCGACGAUCCGUAACUGGUCUGAGAGGAUGAUCAGUCACACUGGAACUGAGACACGGUCCAGACUCCUACGGGAGGCAGCAGUGGGGAAUAUUGGACAAUGGGCGAAAGCCUGAUCCAGCCAUGCCGCGUGUGUGAAGAAGGUCUUCGGAUUGUAAAGCACUUUAAGUUGGGAGGAAGGGCCAUUACCUAAUACGUGAUGGUUUUGACGUUACCGACAGAAUAAGCACCGGCUAACUCUGUGCCAGCAGCCGCGGUAAUACAGAGGGUGCAAGCGUUAAUCGGAAUUACUGGGCGUAAAGCGCGCGUAGGUGGUUCGUUAAGUUGGAUGUGAAAGCCCCGGGCUCAACCUGGGAACUGCAUUCAAAACUGUCGAGCUAGAGUAUGGUAGAGGGUGGUGGAAUUUCCUGUGUAGCGGUGAAAUGCGUAGAUAUAGGAAGGAACACCAGUGGCGAAGGCGACCACCUGGACUGAUACUGACACUGAGGUGCGAAAGCG